rnacentral:rRNA from 1 species
UACGGAGGGUGCGAGCGUUGUCCGGAAUUAUUGGGCGUAAAGAGCUCGUAGGCGGCUUGUCACGUCGGGUGUGAAAGACCGGGGCUUAACCCCGGUUCUGCAUUCGAUACGGGCUGGCUAGAGUGUGGUAGGGGAGAUCGGAAUUCCUGGUGUAGCGGUGAAAUGCGCAGAUAUCAGGAGGAACACCGGUGGCGAAGGCGGAUCUCUGGGCCAUUACUGACGCUGAGGAGCGAAAGCGUGGGGAGCGAACAGG